GUAUGAGAGGAUGAUCAGCCACACUGGAGCUGCGACACGGUCCAGAAUCCUACGGGAGGCAGCAGUGGGGAAUAUUGGACAAUGGGCGCAAGCCCGAUCCAGCCAUGCCGCGUGUGUGAAGAAGGCCUUCGGGUUGUAAAGCACUUUCAACGAGGAGGAAGGGUGGUGUGUUAAUAGCACAUCAUUUUGACGUUACUCGCAGAAGAAGCACCGGCUAACUCUGUGCCAGCAGCCGCGGUAAUACAGAGGGUGCAAGCGUUAAUCGGAAUUACUGGGCGUAAAGCGCACGUAGGCGGUUUUUUAAGUCAGAUGUGAAAGCCCCGGGCUCAACCUGGGAAUUGCAUUUGAAACUGGGAAACUAGAGUGUGUGAGAGGGGGGUAGAAUUCCAAGUGUAGCGGUGAAAUGCAUAGAGAUUUGGAGGAAUACCAGUGGCGAAGGCGGCCCCCUGGCACAACACUGACGCUCAGGUGCGAAAGCGUGGGGAGCAAACAGGAUUAGAUACCCUGGUAGUCCACGCCGUAAACGAUGUCUACUAGCUGUUCGUGACCUUGUGUUGUGAGUAGCGCAGCUAACGCACUAAGUAGACCGCCUGGGGAGUACGGUCGCAAGAUUAAAACUCAAAUGAAUUGACGGGGGCCCGCACAAGCGGUGGAGCAUGUGGUUUAAUUCGACGCAACGCGAAGAACCUUACCUACUCUUGACAUCUACGGAAGACUGCAGAGAUGCGGUUGUGCCUUCGGGAACCGUAAGACAGGUGCUGCAUGGCUGUCGUCAGCUCGUGUUGUGAAAUGUUGGGUUAAGUCCCGCAACGAGCGCAACCCCUAUCCUUAGUUGCCAGCGAUUCUUUUCGGGAACUCUAGGGAGACUGCCGGUGAUAUUU
rnacentral:rRNA from 1 species